GAUGAACGCUAGCUACAGGCUUAACACAUGCAAGUCGAGGGGAAACGACAUCGAAAGCUUGCUUUUGGUGGGCGUCGACCGGCGCACGGGUGAGUAACGCGUAUCCAACCUGCCCACCACUUGGGGAUAACCUUGCGAAAGUAAGACUAAUACCCAAUGAUAUCCCACGAAGGCAUCCGAAUGGGAUUAAAGAUUUAUCGGUGAUGGAUGGGGAUGCGUCUGAUUAGCUUGUUGGCGGGGUAACGGCCCACCAAGGCUACGAUCAGUAGGGGUUCUGAGAGGAAGGUCCCCCCACAUUGGAACUGAGACACGGUCCAAACUCCUACGGGAGGCAGCAGUGAGGAAUAUUGGUCAAUGGGCGAGAGCCUGAACCAGCCAAGUAGCGUGCAGGAUGACGGCCCUAUGGGUUGUAAACUGCUUUAUAAGGGAAUAAAGUGGGUCUCGUGAGACUUUUUGCAUGUACCUUAUGAUAAGGACCGGCUAAUUCCGUG
rnacentral:rRNA from 1 species